rnacentral:rRNA from 1 species
AGUGAACGCUGGCGGUAGGCCUAACACAUGCAAGUCGAACGGCAGCACAGUAAGAGCUUGCUCUUACGGGUGGCGAGUGGCGGACGGGUGAGGAAUACAUCGGAAUCUACUUUUUCGUGGGGGAUAACGUAGGGAAACUUACGCUAAUACCGCGUACGACCUACGGGUGAAAGCAGGGGAUCUUCGGACCUUGCGCGAUUGAAUGAGCCGAUGUCGGAUUAGCUAGUUGGCGGGGUAAGGGCCCACCAAGGCGACGAUCCGUAGCUGGUCUGAGAGGAUGAUCAGCCACACUGGAACUGAGACACGGUCCAGACUCCUACGGGAGGCAGCAGUGGGGAAUAUUGGACAAUGGGCGCAAGCCUGAUCCAGCCAUACCGCGUGGGUGAAGAAGGCCUUCGGGUUGUAAAGCCCUUUUGUUGGGAAAGAAAAGCAGCAGGUUAAUACCCCGCUGUUCUGACGGUACCCAAAGAAUAAGCACCGGCUAACUUCGUG